rnacentral:rRNA from 1 species
AUUGAACGCUGGCGGCAGGCCUAACACAUGCAAGUCGAGCGGAUGAAGGGAGCUUGCUCCUGGAUUCAGCGGCGGACGGGUGAGUAAUGCCUAGGAAUCUGCCUGGUAGUGGGGGAUAACGUCCGGAAACGGGCGCUAAUACCGCAUACGUCCUGAGGGAGAAAGUGGGGGAUCUUCGGACCUCACGCUAUCAGAUGAGCCUAGGUCGGAUUAGCUAGUUGGUGGGGUAAAGGCCUACCAAGGCGACGAUCCGUAACUGGUCUGAGAGGAUGAUCAGUCACACUGGAACUGAGACCCGGUCCCGACUCCUACGGGAGGCAGCAGUGGGGAAUAUUGGACAAUGGGCGAAAGCCUGAUCCAGCCAUGCCGCGUGUGUGAAGAAGGUCUUCGGAUUGUAAAGCACUUUAAGUUGGGAGGAAGGGCAGUAAGUUAAUACCUUGCUGUUUUGACGUUACCAACAGAAUAAGCACCGGCUAACUUCGUG